GAUGAAGAACGUAGCGAAAUGCGAUAAGUAGUGUGAAUUGCAGAAUUCAGUGAAUCAUCGAAUCUUUGAACGCACAUUGCGCCCCUUGGUAUUCCAUGGGGCAUGCCUGUUCGAGCGUCAUUUGUACCUUCAAGCUCUGCUUGGUGUUGGGUGAUUGUCUAUCUUUAUAGACUCGCCUUAAAGUCAUUGGCAGCCGGCAUAUUGGCCUGGGAGCGCAGCGCAAGUCGCGCUUCUUGUCAUGAAUGUUGGCGUCCAGUAAGUCUACAUAUUUUGCUCUUGACCUCGGAUCAGGUAGGGAUACCCGCUGAACUUAAGCAUAUCAAUAAGCGGAGGA
rnacentral:misc_RNA from 1 species